rnacentral:rRNA from 1 species
UACGAAGGGGGCUAGCGUUGUUCGGAUUUACUGGGCGUAAAGCGCACGUAGGCGGAUCUUUAAGUCAGAGGUGAAAUCCCAAGGCUCAACCUUGGAACUGCCUUUGAUACUGGGGAUCUUGAGUCCGGGAGAGGUGAGUGGAACUGCGAGUGUAGAGGUGAAAUUCGUAGAUAUUCGGAAGAACACCAGUGGCGAAGGCGACUCACUGGCCCGAUACUGACGCUGAGGCGCGAAAGCGUGGGGAGCAAACAGG